rnacentral:rRNA from 1 species
UACAGAGGUCUCAAGCGUUGUUCGGAUUCAUUGGGCGUAAAGGGUGCGUAGGUGGCGCGGUAAGUCGGGUGUGAAAUCUCGGAGCUUAACUCCGAAAUUGCAUUCGAUACUGCCGUGCUCGAGGACUGGAGAGGAGACUGGAAUUCAUGGUGUAGCAGUGAAAUGCGUAGAGAUCAUGAGGAAGACCAGUGGCGAAGGCGGGUCUCUGGACAGUUCCUGACACUGAGGCACGAAGGCCAGGGAGGCAAACGGG